ensembl:lncRNA
GGAAUUUAUAAGGGUGAGGCAAUUUUUUCCCCCAGAGUACCUCCUUGCAUUUCACUAUUUCAAAUUGGGACAUGUACAGCCUAUUCCUGAACCAAACUCUGUGACCAGGAGGAUGGGAUAUGCUGGUGGAUUCUUUACCAUCUGAGCCACCAGGGAAGCCACCAAAGGAAGUCCUGAGGCUCCUCCAACUCCAUACAAAGACCUCUCAGAUUGAUGUGGAGACUACUUGCCAGGAUAUCCAAGCUUCCCCAAUCCUCUCCCUUUCAUUUCUAGCUCCAUCCUGCUACUCAACCUACAUCUGUUUCAAAAUUCCUGUUUGAGCUAUGGGAGCACCUGGGCCUUGGAACACAGCACCUGACAAACAGUCUUUAACAGACGUUAGCCCCUGUGUGUCUUCCAUCCUCCAGUCGCAUGGGACUCACAGGCCUUUCUCCUUUCUAGCUCUUGCUAUUGAUGCCCCUGUGACCCCCUUCCUUCCUGCUUGUCCCCAAGAAGACACUCUAGGCAGGUGGGCAGAGCCUAAGUUCAAGCUAUGGGGACUGGGACAUGCUUGUCAGUCAGCACUUCAGAGAAUCAGAGAGAAAAUUUCCCCAGGGUGUUUCUGAGACUUGGAGAAGGGAAGGGGAGUUCACGGAAUGCUAUGCUUGACGCCUUUAAUUAGCAACCAGGGGGGCUCCUGCACACAAUCCACUACCAGGCUCUUCGAAGGGCCUGCUGUCCCAUUGCAUUGCAAUCAUCUCUGCACUUGGCCCCAGACCUGGGCAGUUCCUGGAAGUGCGAGCCACUUCUGAGGUGCAAGAAGAGGAUUCCAGGAAACGCAGGAGGCCUCAGAGGAGUUGAAGUCCUUGGCCGGCACCAAAGCUGCCCUCAUCUGGACACUGGGCGCUGCUUGUGUGUCUGGGGAGCUAUUAGCUUCUUCCCUGGAAUGGCCCCCACCCUGCACCUCCCCCUGUAGUGGAGCAUCAGCUACUCUGGGUUCCAAGUGCUCCAGCCUUGCAUUCUACCUCGGCCUGUUCUGACAACAACUUAUUUUAGCAAGAAACCAAUCUGAUCUUGCUUAUCUUGAGCAUGAAAAUGGAAGUGUUAGUCACUCUGUUGUGUCCGACUCCUUGCAACCCCAUGGCAUAGUAGGGCCAUUAAAGUAGAUUUUUUUCUACUUUUAAUUCCCUUUUUAUGCUAGUGGUUCAAAGGCAAGACUUAGGCAAAUAAAAUCUUCAGAGAACCAACCAACUUUGUAUUCUGUUCUUUGAGGAAUAAAGAAGUGAAAGUGAAAGUCGUUC